rnacentral:misc_RNA from 1 species
AACGCACAUUGCGCCCGCCGGCCAUUCCGGCGGGCAUGCCUGUCCGAGCGUCGCUCCCACCCCUCGAGCCCUAGCUUGCUCGGUGUUGGGGCCCUACGGCCGCCUAGGCCGCAGGCCCCUAAAUGCAGUGGCGGGCCCGCAGGCACUCCCGGGCGCAGUAGGAAAGAGAGCCUUCUCGGCUCCCGCACCCCCUCGCCCACGGAGCCGCCUCGGGAAACGUAAAAACCCGGCCGUCAAAACCCCCAACCCAGGGGGAGGGGUCCCCCCCCUCUCCCCGGGACGACGCAAGCAAGUUGACCUCGGAUCAGGUAGGAAGACCCGCUGAACUUAA